rnacentral:rRNA from 1 species
GUUGAACGCUGGCGGCAGGCUUAACACAUGCAAGUCGAGCGAGCGGCGGACGGGUGAGUAGUGUCGGGAAAACUGCCUAAUGGAGGGGGAUAAGUGCUGGAAAAGGUAGCAAAUACCGCAUAACAUCAGAUGUGCCGUGAUGGGAUUAGCUAGUAGGUGGGGUAAUGGCUCACCUAGGCGACGAUCCCUAGCCGGUCUGAGAGGAUGACCAGCCACACUGGAACUGAGACACGGCCCAGACUCCUACGGGAGGCAGCAGUGGGGAAUAUUGCACAAUGGGCGCAAGUCUGACGCAGCCAUGCCGCGUGAGUGAAGAAGGUUUUCGGGUUGUAAAGCUCUUUCAUCGGGGAGGCGUUAUUCGCAGAAGAAGCAACGGCUAACUCCGUGCCAGCAGCCGCGGUAAUUC